GAAGUUGACUAAACAGUCGCUGUUUAGUUUUAAAACUAAAGAGAGGAAAGUCCGGGCUCCAUAGAGCAGGGUGCCAGGUAACACCUGGAAAGCGCAAGCUUAUGACAAGUGCAACAGAAAAAAAACCACCUUAUUUUCUUUUUUUAACUGCAGAUAAUAGGGAAAGGGUGAAAAGGUGUGGUAAGAGCACACCGCAUAAUUGGCAACAAUUUAUGGCAAUGUAAACUCCACCUGGAGCAAAGCCAAAUAUAGGUUAUUAAUAUUGCUCGUAUUUUAAAAAACCUGGGUGGGCUGCUUGAAUUAGUAAGUAAUUACUAAUCUAGAUGAAUGACUGUUAAAACAGAACCCGGCUUAUAGGUCAACUUCUUAA
rnacentral:RNase_P_RNA from 19 species